CCUACGGGGAGCAGCAGUGGGGGAUAUUGCACAAUGGGGGGAACCCUGAUGCAGCGACGCCGCGUGGGUGAAGGAGUGCUUCGGCAUGUAAAGCCCUAUCGGCAGGGAAGAAGCAAGACGGUACCUGACUAAGAAGCCCCGGCUAACUACGUGCCAGCAGCCGCGAUAAUACGUAGGGGGCGAGCGUUAUCCGGAUUCACUGGGUGUAAAGGGAGCGUAGACGGCCAUGCAAGCCAGGGGUGAAAGCCCGGGGCGCAACCCCGGGACUGCCCUUGGAACUGCAUGGCUGGAGUGCGGGAGGGGCAGGCGGAAUUCCUGGUGUAGCGGUGAAAUGCGUAGAUAUCAGGAGGAAUACUCAUUGCGAAGGCGACCUGCUAGAACAUAACUGACGCUGAUGCGCGAAAGCGUGGGGAGCAAACAGGAUUAGAUACCCUUGUAGUC
rnacentral:rRNA from 1 species